rnacentral:tRNA from 1 species
AUCUAAAUAGUUUAAAGGGAAAAUAUUGGUUUGUGGUGCCGAUGAUAUAUGGUUGUAUUUUAGAUU